ACUCCUACGGGAGGCAGCAGUGGGGAAUAUUGCACAAUGGGCGCAAGCCUGAUGCAGCCAUGCCGCGUGUAUGAAGAAGGCCUUCGGGUUGUAAGUACUUUCAGCAGUGAGGAAGGCAGGUACGUUAAUAGCGUGCUUGUUUGACGUUAGCUGCAGAAGAAGCACCGGCUAACUCCGUGCCAGCAGCCGCGGUAAUACGGAGGGUGCGAGCGUUAAUCGGAAUUACUGGGCGUAAAGCGCAUGCAGGUGGUUUGUUAAGUCAGAUGUGAAAGCCCGGGGCUCAACCUCGGAAUUGCAUUUGAAACUGGCAGACUAGAGUACUGUAGAGGGGGGUAGAAUUUCAGGUGUAGCGGUGAAAUGCGUAGAGAUCUGAAGGAAUACCGGUGGCAAGGCGGCCCCCUGGACAGAUACUGACACUCAGAUGCGAAA
rnacentral:rRNA from 1 species